rnacentral:rRNA from 1 species
GACGAACGCUGGCGGCGUGCUUAACACAUGCAAGUCGAACGGAAAUGCCCCAGCUUUCUGGCGUGGACCAGUGGCGAACGGGUGAGUAACACGUGAGCAACCUGCCCUAGACUCUGGAAUAAGUGCUGGAAACUGCGGCUAAUACCGGAUACGAACUCGUCCCGCAUGGUCAGGGUUUGAAAAGUUCUUCGGUUUGGGAUGGGCUCGCGGCUUAUCAGCUUGUUGGUGAGGUAAUGGCUUACCAAGGCGACGACGGGUAGCCGGCCUGAGAGGGCGACCGGCCACACUGGGACUGAGACACGGCCCAGACUCCUACGGGAGGCAGCAGUGGGGAAUAUUGCACAAUGGGCGAAAGCCUGAUGCAGCGACGCCGCGUGAGGGAUGACGGCCUUCGGGUUGUAAACCUCUUUCAGCAGGGAAGAAGCGAAAGUGACGGUACCUGCAGAAGAAGCACCGGCUAACUACGUG